rnacentral:rRNA from 1 species
CCCUUAGAUGUUCUGGGCCGCACGCGCGCUACACUGAUGCAUUCAACGAGCCUAUCCUUGACCGACAGGUCCGGGUAAUCUUUGAAUCUGCAUCGUGACGGGGAUAGAUUAUUGCAAUUAUUAAUCUUCAACGAGGAAUGCCUAGUAAACGCAAGUCAUCAGCUUGCAUUGAUUACGUCCCUGCCCUUUGUACACACCGCCCGUCGCUCCUACCGAUUGAAUGAUCCGAUGAAUAUCAUGGAUUGAGGAUGCAAGUAGGUUAGCCUAUCUUCAUCUUCGAGAAGUGAAGUAAAUCUUAUCAUUUAGAGGAAGGAGAAGUCGUAACA